rnacentral:rRNA from 1 species
CAGAGGUCCCAAGCGUUGUUCGGAUUCACUGGGCGUAAAGGGUGCGUAGGUGGUGAGGUAAGUCGGAUGUGAAAUCUCCGAGCUCAACUCGGAAAUGGCAUUGGAAACUACCUUGCUCGAGGGUUGGAGGGGGACUGGAAUGCUUGGUGUAGCAGUGAAAUGCGUAGAUAUCAAGCGGAACACCAGUGGCGAAGGCGAGUCCCUGGACAACUCCUGACACUGAGGCACGAAAGCUAGGGGAGCAAACAGGAUUAGAUACCCUGGUAGUCCUAGCCGUAAACGGUGCAUGUUUGCUGUAAAAGGAAUCGACCCCUUUUGUGGCGUAGCCAACGCGUUAAACAUGCCGCCUGGGAAGUACGGUCGCAAGAUUA